rnacentral:lncRNA from 7 species
CCGAGCCCGGCCCCCGACCCGACCCGCGCCGCCCCGCCCCGGCACCGCGCCGCGCCGCCCCCCGAGCCGAGCCGGGCCGAGCCGGGCCGGGCCGGGCGCGGCACCCGCCCACCUGAGACGCACCCGUAGCUGCGGCCAUGGCGGGGCGGGACCGGCCCGACCCCGCGCGCCGCCGUCUGACGUCCGACGCUGCGUGAUGACGUCACUGGGACGCGCGGGGGGCGGAGGAGCCCGCCCCUCCCGCAGCCAAUCAGCUGCGGGUCUGAGCUCUGCCCUGAGCAGCGCCGCGUUCGAGCCGUGAGGCGCUGUGGGGGCUGCUGUGGGAGCUCCUCCUUUCCCCUGCCGUUACUCCCCCUGCCCUCCCUUAGGCACGGCUUGCUCUGCCUGCCCUGCCUGCAGCAACCUCGUGAUUGGGAUCGGAAGCAUUAUAACUUGGUGGCACGCUGGAGUUGUGUGGUCAGGCCCCUCUGCCUGUGUAUCCAGCUCUCAGCUCGCAAACACCCUCCAGUUCCUGAGGGGAGCUUCUGAGCGGGAGGGAGAGCAGCUUUUUUACACGGGCAGAGGGUGACGGGACGAGGAAGAACGCCUUUAAACUGAAAGUGGAGGUUUAGCUGAGGAGGAAACCGCUUUCCCGGAGGGCGGUGAGGCCCUGGCAUAGGCUGCCUGGAGAGGUGUGGGUGCUCCGUCCCUGGAGCGGCUCCAAGCCAGGCUGGGUGAUCCCUGAGCAGCCCCAGGUAGGUGUGGAAAGCUGCUGGACACAACCAUUCCAACCCAACCGUUCUGUCAUUCCAUGCUGACCGGCCUACGCGACCGGCAGGAGCUGCAGAUGGAGCCUUGCACUGCCUCAGCAUCACAAAGCAUGGAACUUCGCUUGUGUAAAGCCUGCACUAUACCACUUCGCUUCAUGCAGUGUGUUCCCAUCCCAUGGGUUCCCAUCCCCAAGAAGAGCUGUUGGAGUGAAUAAUGGCCAUCGGCUGUGGCUGAGCUGCUGUGACCUACCUGUGGUCGUGCUGAGGAAUGGCGUCCACCACUGCAAAGCUUCAGGGACCUUUCUGUGCCUUUCAGCAGGGCGCCUGGCAGCAGACAACAGCACUCAUUCGAACCGUGAGGAGGGAGUAGGCGUCUGUAAGGGAGCCAAUCCCGUGUUCUGGUGCCAUGGUGGAAGACAGGUUUCUUCACACCACUCCGCAAUGAGUGAACUUUUGCAAGCAAGGUAAUAAAUCAGCACCGUGCUGUAAGUUGUUUGCUCCACACCAGGCAUUGUGUUCUUUGCCCCAGUACCAGGGCAGGGUCUGGUCUCUUGCUCAGCAGGCUGCAGUUCCUGCUGGCUGCCACCCAG